UACCACCACCUACCACCACCUACCACCAUCAUCUCAACCUCACAUCUCUCCAUCCAAGGGCUAAAAACAUACAAGUAUCACCCCCAUGAUACUUUUACAAGUAUUCUAGCCCUACUCUAUAUAUAUAUAUAUAGAUAUAGAUAGUUGAGUUUAGAAUACUCUCAAAAGCACCAGGGGUUGGUACUUUUGAGUUUUUAUCCAUUAGAUGGAGAAAUGUAGGGUUGAGAUGAUAGUGGUAGGUGGAAUAGUAUUUGAUCCAAAGGUUAUUAGCAAUCAAGAAGUAGAUCCAAGAACUAGAAACUUAAAAGCACCAAAGGGUUGGUGCUUUUGAGAGUAUUCUAACUCAAUUCUAU
rnacentral:lncRNA from 1 species